CUUCGCGAAUGCGCCUUUCCCUUCCUUGCCCUCCAUUUGGGUGUAGGCGUGUUAGCAGCAGCCAGCAGCAGUGUGCGAGGAAGCCGCGAGGGCGAGAGAGGUCGGCGCGAUUCGGAGAUGGGCAAGGGCGGCGAGCUGUGGGACGACUCCGCGCUGGUGGACGCCUUCGACCGCGCCGUCGCCACCUACAAGGAAAUGCAUGGCAAGAGCAACCGGACAACGCCAUGUGAGGAUGAAAAGCCUGCUGCAGCUGCUACUGCAGAAGUAGAGGGACCCAUCGUUGCUGAAGCAGAGGAUGAGCGACAAGAGAAAGAUGACAACUGUGACAACACAUCCUGUGGUCUGGUGGAGACACCACAGCUGCCCUCUGAAGAAAGACAAGCAGUUCAACAAGUUCCUCUUCAAGAAACUGAUCCAGUCAAAGAGACACAUGUUUCAGAGUCUAAGACACUCUCUUCAGAUGCUACUGAUGCUGAUGGAAAUGUGAGCUCAAGCCAGCAAACAUGGGAGUACAAUGAACUGCUCAGACAGUACUAUGAGCUUGAGGAGAAGAGUCGGAAUGUUCUUCAGCAACUCCAACAAACAAACUACUGGAAUUAUCAAGCAUCCGGAUAUGCUUCUACAACCCAACAGCAGCAAAUUCCUGCUUAUAGUGCCACAGCUCCAGAUCCUCACUCAUCCACCACUCAAUCCUCAUGCUGCUACUGGAAUGUUCCCCUGGUAUCUGUCUCCUGCUGUUCAGCUGGCCAACCAAGUGAAGGUUCUGCUUGUAUGCCGCCUAGUGGUGGCUGCAGCGUAUCAUUGACUUGUGAUCAGUGCCCUGGUACAAGCACCACAUACCCUAGCCUUUCAAACUUCGUGCAACCCCCGACAAAGUUAUCUCCCAAUGGUGAUCAAGUUGCUAAGGCUGCAAUGAUGACCGCUGAAGGUGCCUUGAAUUUUAUGAGAAGUACAGUAUCUGGACAGCCUGGCUCCCAAAGUAAAAACUGAGUCAGAAACUGGGAAGGAGGAAAGCACAAGUAUGGGCAUGAACCCGAAUCUUGACAUAACUGGAGCAGAUAGUGAUCUUGCUGUUCUCUUAAAUGCAUGGUAUGCGGCUGGGUUCUACACUGGCAGGUACCUUGCUCGGCAAUCUACGAAAAAUUCAAAACAAUAGUUCAUGAGGCUGUGGCCAUGGUGUGGUAGAUUUCUAAAAAAAAUGACUGUUAUUGUUCCACUGAUGGUGACAAUGCCCCAUUUUACUGUUGAAUCUUGAGCAAACACGAUCUGCUACGGACCUGAACAUUCUGAUGGAGCUGUGUGUUGUUUCGUGCUUACCAGUGCUUUUCGGGCUAGAACCACCGUAUGCUCUUGUAUGCACUUGUUAUUUAACAGAAAAGCUGGUGAAACGAGUAAACUGUUCGCCUCAACUUAUUAUCAGGUUUCUAGCCUCGUGUGUAAGAUAUUGGUUAACUGGUGGUGGUAAUGUCUAUGAAUCUCGUCCAUCUGUUACCUGCUCUA